GACAGAGGGGGCAAGCGUUGCUCGGAAUCACUGGGCGUAAAGGGCGCGUAGGCGGGAUGGCAAGUCAGUCGUGAAAUCUCUCGGCUCAACCGAGGAACUGCGCCCAAAACUGCCGUGCUCGAGGAAGAUAGAGGUAAGCGGAACUUACGGUGGAGCGGUGAAAUGCGUUGAUAUCGUAAGGAACACCUGUGGCGAAAGCGGCUUACUGGGUCUUUUCUGACGCUGAUGCACGAAAGCUAGGGGAGCAAACGGG
rnacentral:rRNA from 1 species